UACGUAGGGUGCGAGCGUUAAUCGGAAUUACUGGGCGUAAAGUGUGCGCAGGCGGUCGUUCAAGUCGAGUGUGAAAGCCCCCGGCUCAACUGGGGAGGGUCAUUCGAUACUGAUCGACUCGAAGGCAGGAGAGGGAAGUGGAAUUCCCGGUGUAGUGGUGAAAUGCGUAGAUAUCGGGAGGAACACCAGUGGCGAAGGCGACUUCCUGGCCUGUUCUUGACGCUGAGGCGCGAAAGCUAGGGGAGCAAACGGG
rnacentral:rRNA from 1 species